rnacentral:rRNA from 1 species
UACGGAGGGUGCGAGCGUUAUCCGGAAUCACUGGGUUUAAAGGGUGCGUAGGCUGUUAGAUAAGUCAGUGGUGAAAUAUUUUCGCAUAACGAAGAAACUGCCAUUGAUACUGUUUAGCUAGAAUUGGGAUGAGGUAACUGGAAUGUGACAUGUAGCGGUGAAAUGCAUAGAGAUGUCAUAGAAUACCGAUUGCGAAGGCAGGUUACUGGCCCUUGAUUGACGCUGAGGCACGAAAGCGUGGGUAGCGAACAGG